rnacentral:rRNA from 3 species
AAUCCAUAGGUUAAUGAGGCGAACCGGGGGAACUGAAACAUCUAAGUACCCCGAGGAAAAGAAAUCAACCGAGAUUCCCCCAGUAGCGGCGAGCGAACGGGGAGGAGCCCAGAGCCUGAAUCAGCAUGUGUGUUAGUGGAAGCGUCUGGAAAGGCGCGCGAUACAGGGUGACAGCCCCGUACACAAAAGCGCAUGUGCUGUGAGCUCGAUGAGUAGGGCGGGACACGUGGUAUCCUGUCUGAAUAUGGGGGGACCAUCCUCCAAGGCUAAAUACUCCUGACUGACCGAUAGUGAACCAGUACCGUGAGGGAAAGGCGAAAAGAACCCCGGCGAGGGGAGUGAAAAAGAACCUGAAACCGUGUACGUACAAGCAGUGGGAGCACCCUUUGGGUGUGACUGCGUACCUUUUGUAUAAUGGGUCAGCGACUUAUAUUCUGUAGCAAGGUUAACCGAAU